rfam:Camelus ferus unplaced genomic scaffold scaffold1891, whole genome shotgun sequence.
GAGGGUGUAGCUCAGUGGUAGAGUAUGUGUUUAGCAAGCACAAGGUCCUGGGUUCAACCCCCAAUACCUCCA